rnacentral:misc_RNA from 1 species
AAGUCGUAACAAGGUUUCCGUAGGUGAACCUGCGGAAGGAUCAUUAUUGAAUUGUGAAUGGGGCUUGAUGCUGGCUUGUCCAUCCUUUGGCUGCAUGUGCUCGCCCCAGCAAUCCUUUUCCAAACACCUGUGCACCUUCCUUGUGAGAAUGGGAGAGAAAGGGCUUGCCUCUUUUAUCUCGUCUCAUGAUUCAUAACGCUAGUUUGUUAAUGAUUGUAAUGACAUUUAUGCCGUUCCAAGGUCUUUAAACCGUAAUUAA